rnacentral:rRNA from 1 species
AGCAGCCGCGGUAAUUCCAGCUCCAAUAGCGUAUAUUAAAGUUGCUGCAGUUAAAAAGCUCGUAGUUGAAUUUCGGGACUAAUAUGUCGGUCGUGCCUCGGUACGUACUGGUUUAUUGGUUUCUCCUUUCUGAAGAACCAUGAUGUCAUUUAUUUGGUGUCGUGGGGAAUCAGGACUGUUACUUUGAAAAAAUUAGAGUGUUUAAAGCAGGCUCACGCUUGAAUACAUUAGCAUGGAAUAAUGAAAUAGGACGUUUGAUUCUAUUUUGUUGGUUUCUAGGAUCGACGUAAUGAUUAAUAGGGAUAGUUGGGGGCAUUAGUAUUCAAUUGUCAGAGGUGAAAUUCUUGGAUUUAUUGAAGACUAACUACUGCGAAAACAUUUGCCAAGGAUGUUUUCAUUAAUCAAGAACGAAAGUUAGGGGAUCGAAGACGAUCAGAUACCGUCGUAGUCUUAACCAUAAACUAUGCCGACUAGGGAUCGGAUGAUGUUAAUUUUUAAUGACUCAUUCGGCGCCUUACGG